UGCAGCUUUUCCUACAAUAGCCAUCAGCAUUGUUAGAACCUACCAUAUAGAUAGGGUUCUUCUUGCACUCACCCGCCUUUGCCCACAGAGGGCAGUUCUCAUUUUCAUCAACGCAAUCCCCAUUUCUUGAUUGCUUCAGAGAUUUCUCGAAGGACCUGACAUGGAUCCAUUUGGUUGCAGACCACUUCUCACCCUCAAUAACUGGGCAGCUCCCAUGCAAGCUGUUUGGAUCAGUAGUUGCAUCAGGAUGAAGACUGAAGAACAGUAAAGCAUCACCCUUAUUGGGUUUCACUGCAUAGCCAUUCUUAGCACAGUCAGACAUGCUAUCAUCCUUUGGCUGAGACAUUUUUGCCUGUGAGUUUGGGAACACUGUUUCCCCACCCCUCUCAACAUU
rnacentral:misc_RNA from 1 species